rnacentral:tRNA from 1 species
CUCCUGAUAGCUCAGUUGGUAGAGCGAUGGACUGUAAUUGAAAGUGAACUACGGUAUAUCCACAGGUCGCGUGUUCGACUCACGCUCGGGAGA